AAAUCAAGCUCAAAUAUCAUUUCCCGCAAGUUUUUAUUUACGCGACAUAUACUAUAAUAUCAUUAUCGCAAUUGCAUCGCUAUCACGUGUAUGAGGCCGGUGCAAACGCUAAGCUUACUACUGUUCGUGAUACAGAGAAGCAUGAAAUCUUGCAAACUCGUCAUGGAUGGCAUUUAUUCGGUGUGGUUGGAAAAUUUUACUACGAUAAUUUGCGUUGCGGAUACGAUGAUAAAUUCCAUUUCUACCUUGUUCUAAACAGACAAAUUUACUUUCUCAGCUUGCAAGCAUGUUAUCUCACUUCACGGUAAUUUAUUCCGCGCAACAAUAAGACCCGUAAGAAAAGAAUGGACACAUAGAAACUGAAUCUGUAUUCGCGCGCGAGAAAAUAAGUAUUUUAGAAUAUUUUAUUAUUCAGAAAAUUGAAUCUCAUCUCCAAAAUAGAUCAUAUGCCACUAAUCCGAUAAUUAAUUUAAUAAGCUUGUUUUUGUUUAUGAUUAUUUUAUUAAUAUAAUAAAUAGCAUCUCACACACACUCUCACGUCUCGUACUUUUAUUGCACUAUGUAUACGCAUUUUUAUAGUAAUAUGAAAUCAUUAACUCUUACAAUAAUUUACUUUCUACUACUAUCUUAAAAUAAAACAGAUAUUAUGUGAUAAACGUGACAGCUGGGAAAGAUAAAUUUAAUUGUUAAUAGCGCGAUUAACAAACAUCGUUGUACGUUAUACAAUCUCCCUCUUCCGAAUCAAUGAUGCGUACUUUACCUUACGUCUUUUACAUUAUCACUAAUGACUUCACCAAGUCUUGAAACUAGACCAAGUUACAAGGAACGAUGUUGCUCUUCGAACGAGUGAAAUGUGAAUGUAACGUGCUGGAGCGAUAUAAACGCUCCAUUCGCUACUGCGUCUGCGUCAUUUUUACUUGGAGGUAAAAAAAUAUACUCGCUUGUGAUCUUGGAAUAUGUAAUUUAAGUAAUUUAAGUAUUCACGCAACACGUCUUUUGCCAUUAACAUCAUGUGAAUGGUGUGACAAACGGACCUAUACACUAUUGGAAAAAUUCAACAAAAUAGAGACACGAAAAUAUGAUACUUUUCUUUAAUAGCGCUUCAAUUUUGUAUAAUAACUUUAAUACGACGCAAAUUGUAUCAUUCGCGUGGGGACUAUAAAGUACAGAAAAAAUAAAGUAUGUUACGAAUGAUCAAAAGAACUCGUUUAAAAUUGCGAGAAGGUAAACGUAUUCCGACCAUUGAACAAAUAUGGAUUUCGCAGGAAAGCGCUAUUAUAACAUACAUCGUAUCCUUUUGUCUUCAAUUGGUUUGUGGCCGUAUCAGGAUCCAAGAAAGAAAACGAUUCAAAGAAUCAUUUCUUCUGUUAUUCUCAUAUCCUCUGUCAUUGUUCAGUUAAUGAAAUUUCUCACAACUGAAUACAGUCUGGAUCUUCUACUUAAGGUUCUAUCAUUUACAAUACCUUGCAUAGUGUUCGUGUUGAAAUAUAUUUCUUUUAGCAUUGGUACUGAGACAGUGAAAGAUCUCAUGGAAAAUAUUAUAAACGAUUGGAGUUUGUUGAAAACCGAAGACGAGUUUGAAAUUAUAAAGAAGCAUUCCGAUUUUGGACGAUUUUAUACGAUGCUCUUCACAUUGGCUGUGUAUUCUGGUCUCAGUGUUUGCGUAGUGAUUCAACUUGCGCCAAAUUUUCUUGACUUCGUAGCACCACAAAACGAAUCGCGGCUACAUCACAUACCGAUAACUGCAGAAUACUUUGUUGAUCAACAAAAAUGCUAUCUGCCAAUUCUGUUGCACAUUGAUGUAAUAGCUGUCGUAGGAUUCACUACUGUGAUGUCUACUGAAUCGUUAUUUGCCGCGUUCGUACAGCAUGCCAUUGGAAUGUUUGCAAUUGCUAGUUACAGAAUAGAACACGCAUUUGAUGAAGUGUUGGGCAUUAACAUGCCAAGAAAGAAUUGUCCGUACUGUAGAAAAAUAAUAAAUGCCAUAUACAUUCACAAGAGAGCUAUUAAAUUUGUCGAAUUUCUGAGAUCCAGUUUUGCUAUUUCAUAUAUCUUCCUAAUCUGCUUGGGAAUUGCCUCUUUGACUGCUAAUUUAUUUCGCCUUUUUCUAACUUUACGAUGUAUGGAUGAUUUAGAGGAAUUUAUUAUCACCACAUUAUUCGUUUUCGGUCAUGUUUAUUAUAUAUUCUUGGGCAAUUAUACUGGUCAGAGAGUAAUAGAUUACAGCACAGAUAUAUUUUACAAAACGUACAUGUCACAAUGGUACAAUGGUCCGUUGCACGCGCAAAAAUUAUUAUUAUUUAUAAUGCAACGAAGCAUGAAAAGCACUGUCAUGUGUCUAGGGAAUUUAUUUGUUCCAUCGUUGGAAGGUUUCGCAACGGUAACUACUUACAUUGACGAAACUAUGACGAAACUUAAUUUUUAUAUAUUAUUCAUUUCGUAGAUGUAUAAAGCAAGUUUCUUAUUUCAGAUUACCAGUAUGUCAUUCUCGUACUUUACGGUGAUGUAAGAUUGAUUUUGAAAACGCAUUACACUAAAACUAAACUUGACGUUGUACUCAACGAAUGAGAAUACAAAAUGGGAAACAGAA
rnacentral:misc_RNA from 1 species